AUUAUACAGCGAAACUGCGAAUGGCUCAUUAUAUAAGUUAUCGUUUAUUUGAUAGCACCUUACUACUUGGAUAACCGUGGUAAUUCUAGAGCUAAUACAUGCUAAAAAUCCCGACUUCGGAAGGGAUGUAUUUAUUAGAUACAAAACCAAUGCCCUUCGGGGCUCACUGGUGAUUCAUGAUAACUUCGCGAAUCGCACAGCCUUGCGCUGGCGAUGGUUCAUUCAAAUUUCUUCCCUAUCAACUUUCGAUGUUUGGAUAUGGGCCAAACAUGGUUGCAACGGGUAACGGAGGGUUAGGGCUCGACCCCGGAGAAGGAGCCUGAGAAACGGCUACUACAUCCAAGGAAGGCAGCAGGCGCGCAAAUUACCCAAUCCCGACACGGGGAGGUAGUGACAAUAAAUACUGAUACAGGGCUCUAUAGGGUCUUGUAAUCGGAAUGAGUACAAUUUAAAUCUCUUAACGAGGAACAAUUGGAGGGCAAGUCUGGUGCCAGCAGCCGCGGUAAUUCCAGCUCCAAUAGCGUAUAUUAAAGUUGUUGUGGUUAAAAAGCUCGUAGUUGAACCUUGGGCCUGGCUGGCCGGUCCGCCUCACCGCGUGCACUGGUCCGGCCGGGCCUUUCCCUCUGUGGAACCCCAUGCCCUUCACUGGGUGUGGCGGGGAAACAGGACUUUUACUUUGAAAAAAUUAGAGUGCUCCAGGCAGGCCUAUGCUCGAAUACAUUAGCAUGGAAUAAUAAAAUAGGACGUGCGGUUCUAUUUUGUUGGUUUCUAGGACCGCCGUAAUGAUUAAUAGGGACAGUCGGGGGCAUCAGUAUUCAGUUGUCAGAGGUGAAAUUCUUAGAUCUACUGAAGACUAACUACUGCGAAAGCAUUUGCCAAGGAUGUUUUCAUUAAUCAGGAACGAAAGUUAGGGGAUCGAAGACGAUCAGAUACCGUCGUAGUCUUAACCAUAAACUAUGCCGACUAGGGAUCGGACGAUGUUAUUACUUGACUCGUUCGGCACCUUACGAGAAAAUCAAAGUGCUUGGCUCC
rnacentral:rRNA from 1 species